GAUGAACGCUGGCGGCGCGCUUAACACAUGCAAGUCGAACGGAAAGGCCUGCUUUCCCUUGUGGAUUGCGGGUACUCGAGUGGCGAACGGGUGAGUAACACGUGAGUGAUCUGCCCCCAACUUGGUUAUAAGCCUGGGAAACUGGGUCUAAUUCCCGAUAGGACUGCAGGGUGGUGCCUGUGGUGGAAAACGAUUUUCUAGUGGUUGGGGAUGAGCUCGCGGCCUAUCAGCUUGUUGGUGGGGUAAUGGCCUACCAAGGCGGCGACGGGUAGCCGGCCUGAGAGGGUGGACGGCCACAUUGGGACUGAGAUACGGCCCAGACUCCUACGGGAGGCAGCAGUGGGGAAUAUUGCACAAUGGGCGGAAGCCUGAUGCAGCGACGCCGCGUGGGGGAUGACGGCCUUCGGGUUGUAAACUCCUUUCGACCGCGAGGAAGCCACCUGGUUGGGAGGGUGGUGACGGUAGUGGUAGAAGAAGCACCGGCUAACUACGUG
rnacentral:rRNA from 1 species